rfam:Zea mays cultivar B73 chromosome 3, whole genome shotgun sequence.
ACUCUCCGAUGAUGAACUUAUCGAGUUUAUCCUUACUGGUCUUGAUUUUGAAUACAAUGUUGUUGUUUCUGUUGUUCUGACCAGGCCAGAGAUGACCUCGUUGGGUGAACUCUACUCCCAACUCCUUGCUUUCGAGA